GUGGUGUUAAAAUCGGACGACCGGACGCCGAUUUGUACAGCCCUAUUUGAAAGUAAUGACGUCAUACUUACUUUCAUACAGAAAUUAAAUAUCUGAUACGUUAGAUUUUGGGAAAUAAGCUUGUCACAAAAAAUGAUGUGGUUUAUUUCUAGAAGUCUUACUAUGUAGUUGGUAC
ensembl:snoRNA Y73F8A.1175 ncRNA